rnacentral:lncRNA from 14 species
UUUUUGAGCGAUAUACUACAAAUUUGCUCGAGUAUGAGAAAAUGUGGGGAAAUAUUACUUCACUGACAAGCAGAUAAGGUUGAGUUGUGGUCACUCUCCAUAUUUAUGUUGUUCCAAAUACUUCUGCUUUCAUCGAGAAAUAUAUUUAGUUUUGAAUGAAAUGGAACAAGUGAAAAAAUAUGCCAGUGAAAAUUCGGUCUCUAACAGGCUGCAGAAACUCAGGUAAUGAGAUCGCUGGUGUCUCGACCUACAAAGCUAGGGCUCAUAGAAAUGUAAAGGGAGGCAGAACACAACAAUUUCUUAAAAGAAAUGCUUUCUAGCUCUCUAGCAACUUACACUGUUGUAAUUUCUGAAGUUAAUGGUGUAUUCCUUUUUCUUUUUUUUUGAUACUUAAGUGUUGCAUAAACAGUGCUUACGUCAAUGUUUAAUGAUGUUACUCAUUUGAAGGCAGAUAUACCACAGUUGUGUGCCUGACAUGUUUUUCUUUCGUACAUACAGCCACAGUAAUUGUUUCUGAGUUCAAAAUGUAUUUGAUAUUUCAAAGUCGGUGGCAUUUAAAAUAAUGGCAGUUAGUAGACUACAUUGGUGAUAGAUUUUGUGCAAUAUUUGUAUCAUUUAGAAAACCAUAUGGAACGGAGGAGGUAGUGCAUUGUACUGCAUACUUGGUUUGGCUAGGGUUGAAUAAGAUGACUGAUGAAUCUUAUUUAAAAUCUCCUGUUGAUGACCUCUAAUUAUGGUAAUGUAUUAUAUAUCUCUCCUGUUAUUCCUGCACAGGCACAUACAUGCAACAUUUUAGCUGAGCUAAAAUUGCUAGUGAAGUCAUCUCCAGCAGCUCUUCACAUUACUCCUUUGAAACUCAAACCUGCAGUUGUUUACAACUUAAAGCUGAGACCACAAGUUCUGUUCCUCAGGACUUCAAGUUUAAGUUAA